rnacentral:rRNA from 1 species
AGAGUUUGAUCAUGGCUCAGAUUGAACGCUGGCGGCAGGCUUAACACAUGCAAGUCGAGCGGAAACGAAGGUAGCUUGCUACCAGACGUCGAGCGGCGGACGGGUGAGUAAUGCUUAGGGAUCUACCGAGUAGUGGGGGAUAGCCAUUGGAAACGAUGAUUAAUACCGCAUAUAUCCUACGGGGGAAAGCAGGGGACCUUCGGGCCUUGCGCUAUUCGAUGAGCCUGAGUGAGAUUAGCUAGUUGGUGGGGUAAAGGCCUACCAAGGCGACGAUCUCUAGCUGGUCUGAGAAGAUGAUCAGCCACACUGGGACUGAGACACGGCCCAGACUCCUACGGGAGGCAGCAGUGGGGAAUAUUGCACAAUGGACGAAAGUCUGAUGCAGCCAUGCCGCGUGUGUGAAGAAGGCCUUCGGGUUGUAAAGCACUUUCAGCGAGGAGGAAAGGUCAGUAAGUAAUAUUUGCUGGCUGUGACGUUACUCGCAGAAGAAGCACCGGCUAAUUUAGUGCCAGCAGCCGCGGUAAUACUAAAGGUGCAAGCGUUAAUCGGAAUUACUGGGCGUAAAGCGCGCGUAGGUGGUUUGUUAAGUUGGAUGUGAAAGCCCAGGGCUCAACCUUGGAACUGCAUUCAAAACUGACUCACUAGAGUACGAGAGAGGUUAGUGGAAUUUCCUGUGUAGCGGUGAAAUGCGUAGAGAUGGGAAGGAACACCAGUGGCGAAGCGACUGACUGGCUCGAUACUGACACUGAGUGC